AGAGUCUCCAGCAGGCUAUGGGGACUUUGACGACUGAGAUGCAUACAGCCCACCGUGACAUCCGCAUUUCCACUGAUAUGUCACGUGUUGCUCGCCAGGAUGCCCAGGCAGCUAGGAGGGAGAUGGACACUAUGAACGGUCGACUCAGUGUGUAUGUGGGCAGGGUGGAUGGCAUCCAGAUGAGGGUAAAUGAAACUUGGGAGCGU
rnacentral:lncRNA from 1 species